GUCUACAGCCAUACCAUCCUGAACGUGCCUGAUCUCGUCUGAUCUCAGAAGCUAAGCAGGGUCACCCCUGGAUAGCACUUGGAUGGGAGAAAGGGUGAAAGAAAUACAGAGAGCUCUCCC
rnacentral:rRNA from 1 species